GAGCAACGGUAUUAACAGUAACGGCAAAAUCAUGCGCUUCAGACAAGUAAACAGCACCUCCUCGCGCUUCCUGCAUAUCGAUCCCAUAAGCGAUCUCAAAGCGGCAAAGCCUCUUUCCCUGACCCCCAAAGUAUCUGAGGAUGCAAAACCACAGCACAUGGCAAGUUCUGUUGCUAGUUCAAACAUAGUGAAAUGGAACGUGUUAAUCACCAAGCACAUGCGGAAUGGCGAAUGCGAAUCUGCAUUGCGCUUAUUCAAGUCCAUGCCAAGGAAAAACUGCGUGUCUUGGAACUCCAUGAUCUCUGGGUACUUGUCGAAUAACAAGUUCGACCUCGCACACCAGCUGUUCAAUCAAAUGCCUCAAAGGGACUUGGUUUCUUGGAAUGUAAUGUUAGGUGGGUAUGUGAAGAAUAAGAAUCUUGGGGCAGCUAGGUUGUUGUUUGAUCAAAUGCCUAAGAGAGACGUUGUGUCGUGGAACACUAUGCUAUCUGGGUAUGCCCAAAAUGGGCAUAUUGAUGAAGCGAGGAGGAUAUUUGAUAUCAUGCCUGUGAAGAAUGAGAUCUCAUGGAAUGCGCUGCUUGCAACAUAUGUGCAGAAUGGGAGGAUUGAAGCUGCUAGGAGAUUGUUUGAGUUGAAGGAAAGUUGGGCGGUGGUUUCUUGGAAUUGCUUGAUGGGUGGGUAUUUGAAGAAGAGGAUGUUGGCUGAGGCCAGAUCGGUUUUUGAUAGAAUGCCUAUGAGGGACAAGGUUUCGUGGAAUACUAUGAUUUCCUGUUAUGCUCAGAAUGGUGAAUUGGAGGAAGCAAGGAGGUUGUUUGAUGAGUCUCCUGAUAGAGAUGUAUUUACUUGGACUUCAAUGGUUUCAGGGUAUGUGCAAAAUGGUAGAGUGGAGGAAGCUAGGGGGAUUUUUGAUGAGAUGCUAGUGAAGAAUGAGGUUUCAUGGAAUGCAAUGAUUGCUGGUUAUGUUCAGUGCCAAAGGAUAGACUUGGCAAGGGAAUUGUUUGAUGCAAUGCCCUGUAAAAAUAUUAGUUCAUGGAACACAAUGAUAACUGGUUAUGCUCAAAAUAGCGAUAUCGUUAGUGCAAGGAGUUUGUUUGAUUGUAUGCCUAUGCGCGAUUGCAUUUCUUGGGCUGCAAUUAUUGCAGGGUAUGCUCAAUGUGGUAAUAGUGAGGAGGCAUUGCACAUGUUUGUGGAAAUGACAAGAGAUGGAGAGAGGCUUAACAGGUCAUCAUUUACAUGUGUCAUAAGUACAUGCGCUGAUAUUGCAGUUUUUGAGUUGGGAAAGCAGAUACACGGCAGACUUGUAAAGGCAGGAUAUGAAUCAGGUUGUUAUGUGGGGAAUGCACUCCUAGCAAUGUAUUGCAAGUGUGGAAGCAUUGGAGAGGCACUUGAUGUAUUCGAGGGAAUAGCAGAGAAGGAUGUGGUCUCUUGGAACACAAUGAUUAUUGGUUAUGCAAGGCAUGGAUUUGGCAAAGAAGCUCUUGAAUUUUUUAAAAUGAUGAAGGACUUUGGUAUCAAACCUGAUGAUGUUACUAUGGUUGGAGUACUGUCUGCAUGCAGUCAUACUGGCUUGGUUGACAGGGGAAUGGAAUAUUUUUAUUCUAUGAAGGUAGACUAUGGGAUAGUUGCAAAUUCAAAGCACUAUACUUGCAUGAUUGAUCUCUUGGGUCGAGCUGGACGCCUAGAUGAUGCUCAAGACUUAAUCAAGAGCAUGCCCUUUGAACCAGAUGCUGCCACUUGGGGUGCUGUCCUUGGGGCAAGCAGGAUGCAUGGAAAUACAGAAUUAGGAGAAAAAGCUGCUGAAAAGAUUUUUGUAUUGGAGCCUUGGAAUGCAGGGAUGUAUGUUCUUCUGUCUAACUUGUAUGCAGCUUCUGGUAGAUGGCGUGAUGUUAGUGAGAUGAGAUUAAAACUGAGAGAUACUGGUACAAGGAAAGUUCCUGGGUACAGCUGGGUUGAGGUACAAAACAAGAUUCAUAUAUUUUCAGUUGGGGACUCCACACAUCCUGACAGUGCUAGAAUAUAUGCUUUCUUGGAAGACUUAGAACUACGAAUGAAGCACGAAGGCUAUGUGGUUGCUACAAAAUUAGUCUUGCAUGAUGUGGACGAGGAGGAAAAGGCACAUAUGCUGAAGUAUCAUAGUGAAAAAUUAGCCGUUGCAUUUGCAAUUCUGAAUGUACCCACUGGGAGACCAAUUCGUGUGAUAAAGAAUUUAAGGGUUUGUGGGGACUGUCACACUGCAAUCAAACUCAUAUCAAAGAUUGUUGGGAGAUCAAUAAUUCUACGGGAUAAUAACCGUUUUCACCAUUUCAAUGAUGGUAUAUGCACCUGUGGGGAUUAUUGGUAAGAGCAAAGUGUUGCUGGUUUAACAUAUAUGGGUAAAGCCAUGAAGAUACCAUUGCUUUCAAAUUUAGUCCUCAUGAUUUUCUGAAUAUAUUGUGCUACCAGUCACAAUAGUUUGCUCAGUGGUCAUUCUCAAUGCCUCUUGAAAGGAUAGGAAGGGAAAGCUCCACUCUAAUCCUUUCCUAAUCCAGAAAACAGAGGACAUCUUUCAUAGGAAAACAUACAAACUUCUUUUGAAGUUUGAGCGCUUAGGUGAGCAUUACAAGUUGGUCAAUGAGAGUUUCUGUCAAGGAUGUAAAUGAUCUGUUGCCAGUGCAAAGGAAAAAGGAUUGGCAGUUAUGUAUUGCAGUUCAAACUGCGGGGCUUAAUGACUUAAGUGCCCUCUAAAGAUCUGACAGCAGCCUCUGUGAAUACAUGGAACCUAUGAUGGAGUGAAGCAGCAGAGGUCAAAGUGAUAUCAAAUGGUACAUUUUAAGGGAAAAGCUUGAAGUGAUGAUUCAUCGGGAGUUUCUUUCAAGUUUUGCAUCUGAUGAGGAACCCACAUCAGAUGACUUUGGGGGAUGAAGGGGAAGUCUUGAAGUUAGGCUUAGAAAACAAGGUGUUGAUUUCAGGUUUGCAAGUUAGUACCUUUCUAGGUCCACCAACUGUCCCAUAAGAAUUGAAGCUAACUGUUGCAGUCUGCAAAUAAAGAAGAAUAUGCCAAGGCUUAAGCUGAUGCAAAAUAGUUGAUUACCAGAAACUUUAUAAUAAUUUCAAUUAACAACAUAAAGAGAAAAUGAACUCAUGCCUCUACAAGCAUAUCAAUCUUGACUAUUUUACAUAACACAAAAGUUCUUGCGGCUUACCUUACUG